rnacentral:lncRNA from 1 species
UUUGUUUUGUUUUACAGGUUGUUAUAAAUCAUGGCUGGAGCCAAGUCUAUUUUAAUUAUUAAUAUUUCUCAGCUUAUACAAUAAUCCAUAUAUACUAGAAUUUCUAUUUGUCUUUUCCCUGAAUCACAAGAAAAUGAUUGGAAGGAUUGUCACCAAACUCAGAGGCUGGUGUUAAGUUAGUCUAACUUAAACUAUAGGCUCUGUGGCAAACCUCAAAUUCACUUUGGUGCUCCCAGAAGCGCCGGAGAGAGACACGAUCAUUAUCUGCGGAAGACAAGGCCGAGCCCUGCGGAUGUGCUCGGCGCCCCCCUCCCCCACCGCCCGCCCCCGGCGCACAGUGGGCGGCAAAAGGUUUCCACCAGACCUGCCGACUCAGUCUCCGAUGCAGGUCAUGAAGACUCGCCUCCGGGAAGCUUCUCUCCGAGCCCUGCUUCUCCUGAGAUGAAGCCUUUACUGACACUGUGGUUCUGUCAGAUGCCAAAUCCAUCUGGUCGGGAAGCAGCAAACCUCUCCGAAGGUCAAGUUGAACCAGUAACACUAGCGACAGGCACUUGGAGUUGACCUUCAACAAGGAUAUUUAUAUAUGCGUAUAUAACACCCUUAUAACCAUAUUGUCGUUUAAACAGUCCAACCUACAUAUAUUGAGGAAAUUAGGACAGAGCACAAUGCAAAGCCUUAGGAUAUGAGAGGAUGCAGAAUUCAACACCCUCAGACUUUUCUAAAAAAGUAUUUACAUAAGUCCUAAAGCGAAUGUAGUCUAGCAACUUACAUAUUUAAAACAAAACCAAAGGAAAAACACAAGGCGAGCAUUCUGAUUUCAGACAUAAAAGUAAAUGCUAAGGCAGGCAGACACCAAGCAAGCUUCCCUUCUGGGAUCUAGGCACAUUUGCCGUCUUGUUGCCCUUAUUAAAUGCUAAGACCUCUGUCUUUUUAUUUUAUUAAGGAUCAUUGCAGCAAAGUGUGUCAAAAUACAUCAAGAAAAGUGGACAGUUAUAAAAGCUGAAUUUACGUCAGCUACAUGAAGACUUGUUUGCUUAAUGCCAUUAAAAAGUCACUUCCUGGGCCCGGCGUUAUGGGUUUGAGCCCCACAUCAGGCUCCUCCGCUAUGAGCCUGCUUCUUCCUCUCCCACUCCCCCUGCUUGUGUUCCCUCUCUCGCUGGCUGUCUCUAUCUCUGUCAAAUAAAUAAAUAAAAUCUUUAAAAAAAAAAAAGUCA